rnacentral:rRNA from 1 species
CNAUGGGCGCAGCCUGAUGCAGCGACGCCGCGUGCGGGAUGACGGCCUUCGGCCAAUUAAACCGCUNUUGAUCGGGAGCAAGCCUUCGGGUGAGUGUNCCUUUCGAAUAAGCACCGGCUAACUACGUGCCAGCAGCCGCGGUAAUACGUAGGGUGCAAGCGUUAUCCGGAAUUAUUGGGCGUAAAGGGCGCGUAGGCGGACUGUCAAGUCAGUCGUGAAAUACCGGGGCUUAACCCCGGGGCUGCGAUUGAAACUGACAGCCUUGAGUAUCGGAGAGGAAAGCGGAAUUCCUAGUGUAGCGGUGAAAUGCGUAGAUAUUAGGAGGAACACCAGUGGCGAAGGCGGCUUACUGGACGGUAACUGACGUUGAGGCUCGAAAGCGUGGGGAGCAAACAGGAUUGAUACCCUGGUAGUCCAAGGGCGAAUUC